rnacentral:rRNA from 1 species
UACGAAGGGGGCUAGCGUUGUUCGGAAUCACUGGGCGUAAAGCGCACGUAGGCGGCUUGUUAAGUCAGGGGUGAAAUCCUGGAGCUCAACUCCAGAACUGCCUUUGAUACUGGCGAGCUUGAGUCCGGGAGAGGUGAGUGGAACUGCGAGUGUAGAGGUGAAAUUCGUAGAUAUUCGCAAGAACACCAGUGGCGAAGGCGGCUCACUGGCCCGAUACUGACGCUGAGGCACGAAAGCGUGGGGAGCAAACAGG